rnacentral:rRNA from 1 species
CGCCGAUGGAGGGGGGUAACUACUGGAAACGGUAGCUAAUACCGCAUAACGUCGCAAGACCAAAGAGGGGGACCUUCGGGCCUCUUGCCAUCGGAUGUGCCCAGAUGGGAUUAGCUAGUAGGUGGGGUAAAGGCUCACCUAGGCGACGAUCCCUAGCUGGUCUGAGAGGAUGACCAGCCACACUGGAACUGAGACACGGUCCAG